rnacentral:rRNA from 1 species
UACGAAGGGGGCGAGCGUUGUUCGGAUUUAUUGGGCGUAAAGGGCGCGUAGGCGGCGGGUCAAGUCGAGUGUGAAAGCCCCGGGCUCAACCUGGGAAUGGCGCGCGAAACGGGGGGGCUUGAGUUCGGGGAGAGGAGCGUGGAAUUCCCAGUGUAGAGGUGAAAUUCGUAGAUAUUGGGGAAGAACACCGGUGGCGAAGGCGGCGGCUCUGGACCGAGACUGACGCUGAGGCGCGAAAGCGUGGGGAGCAAAACAGGG